rnacentral:lncRNA from 1 species
GAUUAAUGAUAUAAGAUUAUCUGAGCCAAUACAUCUAUAUUAUUUACCUAUUUCUCAAAAAAAAUACAUCUAUAUUAUUUUCACUCCUUUUUUAUUUUUAAAUUUUUUUUUUUGCACUUGACCCACUACUAAUUCCUCUGUUACUGCUGCUUGAUUCUUAAUGUUGCCUGUUUUGCUAUUAGUUUUUCUUCUCUUAGUGCCGAUGUUCUUGCAUCUAUUUCUUCUUUUACAUUUAUGGCUAUUGCAAUUUCUAGUGCGGCAUUUAUGGCUAUUGCAAUUUCUGGUGCUGUUGUUUCUGCAACUUCUAAUGAAUCUGAAGUUUCUUUCGUUUUGCUUCUUCUUUUUACCCUUAUAUCAAGUAUUGGAUUCUUUUAUUAUCCAUCAACUAUUUUGCUCUUUCUCUUAUUGUAUUUUUGUACAUAGGACAUAUAUGUGAGUUAAUUUCUAGCGGAGCCUUUUGCAUUAAUUUAUAAUUUUCUUGCUACCGUGAUUGUAAGCUUCACUACAUAUUUUUCUCUUUUUGCAUGGUAUAUUUUUUCUACUGCUUCUUUUCUUAUUAAUUUUGCUCCUCCUUUGGCUUUGUUUAAAUGCUUUUCAAUUGUUUAAAUAUGGUGAGGCAUUUUGGAUGGCAAUUAUACAAUCAUUACAAAUAUUUGUUUCCCUCAGAAACCGGUAAAUCGGCUAUUGAGGUAAAGGUUUUAAAAGUUCCUUUGAUUUUCUCAACUCAAUUCUGUUUAAUUACGCAUUGUGGUCUCAAAUUUUGGUUUUUGAUGGUAAUUGGUUGCAUAUUCCUGUUUAAAAAUGAGAACUUUGUGUUGGGGUGAUUCAAAUUCGUUGUGUUUUGAGCUCAAUUUUGUUGGAAUCGAUAGUUGAGAGCCAUUAAUUAGUUAAAUAGUGUUCUGGUAGGUGAUAGAGUGCUUCAUGUUUGGAUAGUUUCUCUCAGAGUUUU